rnacentral:rRNA from 1 species
GACGAACGCUGGCGGCGUGCUUAACACAUGCAAGUCGAACGGAAAGGCCCUGCGUUUGUGCGGUUCUCGAGUGGCGAACGCGUGAGUAACACGUGAGUAACCUGCCCUUCACUUUGGGAUAACUUCACGAAACUGGGGCUAAUACCGGAUAGGAUCUCCUGCUGCAUGGUGGGCGUUGGAAAGUUUCGGCGGUUGGGGAUGGACUCGCGGCUUAUCAGCUUGUUGGUUGGGUAGUGGCUUACCCAGGCUUUGACGGGUAGGCCGCCUGAGAGGGUGACCGGGGACAUGGGGACUGAGAGACGGACCAGUGGGGAAUGGGAGGCAACGGUGGGGAGCAUUGCACAAUGGGCGCGAGUGUGAUACGGAAGCGCUGGGUGCGGGAUGACGGCUUUUGGGGUGUAAACAGCUGUCGCCUGUGACGAAGCGUGAGUGACGGUAAUGAGUAAAGAAGCACCGGCUAACUACGUG